AACGAACGCGACCUCAGAUCAGACGAGACGACCCGCUGAAUUUAAGCAUAUUACUAAGCGGAGGAAAAGAAACUAACCAGGAUUCCCUCAGUAGCGGCGAGCGAAGAGGGAAGAGCC
rnacentral:rRNA from 1 species